CCACCUGUCCUUGUCUCCUGUGGUCAGGUGCGCCACGCUUGGUACUUUGACCUUAAUAGCACUAGCUGUAAAAUGCUCAGCUACACAGACCCCGCUUGCGACAGCGCUGGGAACCGUUUUCUGUCCGAAAUGAAGUGCCAGGCGGUUUGCCUCCCAAAAGUAAAGCCAAAACCCAUCUGCAGCAGGGAUCCUGAACCAGAUAUGUGUCUCGUGAGCAGAAAGCACUGGUUAUUUGAUUUUAGGAAUAAUGCGUGCAUAAAAUUCAAAAGCGGUUGCGGAAAAGGUCCCAACAGCUUCGCCACGUACGACAAGUGCAUGUCGAAAUGCAGCUAUAACCAAGUAGCGGCGGCCUGCCCAACUUGCGGACAAACCCUCCAAAAUGAGCAACCGAUCGUCGGUAUACCCGGUGUGCCUAGCCAGGUUGGCCCGCCCAGUCCACCAGCCCAGUC